rnacentral:siRNA from 1 species
UAGUGUCUUCUUGGUUUGCA